GCUGUGAUCGUAUAGUGGUUAGUACUUCACGCUGUGGCCGUGAUAACCCAGGUUCGAAUCCUGGUCACAGCA
rfam:Ciona savignyi cont_34749, whole genome shotgun sequence.